UGCUGCCUUGGCCAAGCUCUGCCAGCUGAGUGACCUUGGACAAGAGACAUGAGCUUUCUUAGCCUUGGCUUCCUUAUCUGUAAAGUAGGGGUGAUGCUAGUACCAUCUUCACAGGCCAUCUGGCCUGAGAGGGAGAACCUGGCACACCACGCAUAUCCAAUUAAGCAGAAGAAGGUGCCUGACUGCAUGAGUGUCAUCCCAUUGAAUCUUCUGGGAGGUCCUACAAGGUCGAAUGCAUGUCACACAAAGUUAACCAUUUUAAGGUGAACAGUUUCAGGGGCAUUGAAAAUGUCGUGCAGCCACCACCUCUGUCUCGUUCCAAAACAUUUUCAUCACUGCAAAGUAAAACCUGGACCCACUGAGCAGUUCCUCCUCACUCCCCCAUCCCUACCCCUACCAAUCUACUUUCUGUGUCUAUGGAUUCACUGAUUCUAGAUACUUCAUAUAAACGGAGUCAUAAAAUA